ACCAUUAAAGAUUCAUCGGUAAACGAUGGGGAUGCGUUCCAUUAGGUAGUAGGCGGGGUAACGGCCCACCUAGCCUACGAUGGAUAGGGGUUCUGAGAGGAAGGUCCCCCACAUUGGAACUGAGACACGGUCCAAACUCCUACGGGAGGCAGCAGUGAGGAAUAUUGGUCAAUGGGCGAGAGCCUGAACCAGCCAAGUAGCGUGAAGGAUGAAGGUCCUACGGAUUGUAAACUUCUUUUAUAAGGGAAUAAAACGCUCCACGUGUGGAGCCUUGUAUGUACCUUAUGAAUAAGCAUCGGCUAACUCCGUGCCAGCAGCCGCGGUAAUACGGAGGAUGCGAGCGUUAUCCGGAUUUAUUGGGUUUAAAGGGAGCGCAGACGGGAUGUUAAGUCAGCUGUGAAAGUUUGCGGCUCAACCGUAAAAUUGCAGUUGAUACUGGUCGUUCUUGAGUGCAGUUGAGGUGUGCGGUAAUUCGUGGUGUAGCGGUGAAAUGCUUAGAUAUCACGAAGAACUCCGAUUGCGAAGGCGUCGACGCGGCCGAGUCGUGGGACGG
rnacentral:rRNA from 1 species